rnacentral:sRNA from 1 species
AUGCACACACGUCCAGUCCCACUCCUGUGCGCUGUCUACACCGCCUGACGACUGCUCGCGAGAGUGUGCUAGCC